rnacentral:piRNA from 1 species
UAUUCAGUGUCUUUGUUCAGAAAGAAGGAA